AACGAACGCUGGCGGCAGGCUUAACACAUGCAAGUCGAACGGAUCCUUCGGGAUUAGUGGCAGACGGGUGAGUAACGCGUGGGAACGUACCCUUUGCUACGGAAUAACUCAGGGAAACUUGAGCUAAUACCGUAUGUGCCCUACGGGGGAAAGAUUUAUCGGCAAAGGAUCGGCCCGCGUUGGAUUAGCUAGUUGGUGGGGUAAUGGCCUACCAAGGCGAAGAUCCAUAGCUGGUCUGAGAGGAUGAUCAGCCACACUGGGACUGAGACACGGCCCAGACUCCUACGGGAGGCAGCAGUGGGGAAUAUUGGACAAUGGGCGCAAGCCUGAUACAGCCAUGCCGCGUGAGUGAUGAAGGUCUUAGGAUUGUAAAGCUCUUUCACCGGUGAAGAUAAUGACGGUAGCCGGAGAAGAAGCCCCGGCUAACUUCGUG
rnacentral:rRNA from 1 species